rnacentral:rRNA from 1 species
UACGGAAGGUCCGGGCGUUAUCCGGAUUUAUUGGGUUUAAAGGGUGCGUAGGCGGGCUUUUAAGUCAGCGGUAAAAAUUCGGGGCUCAACCCCGUCGUGCCGUUGAAACUGAUGUUCUUGAGUGGGCGAGAAGUAUGCGGAAUGCGUGGUGUAGCGGUGAAAUGCAUAGAUAUCACGCAGAACUCCGAUUGCGAAGGCAGCUUACCAGUCUGCGACUGACGCUCAGGCACGAAAGUGUGGGUAUCGAACAGG